rnacentral:rRNA from 1 species
AGAGUUUGAUCCUGGCUCAGGACAAACGCUGGCGGCGUGCGUAACACAUGCAAGUCGAACGGGGGCAGAGGCACUUUCGGGUGGUUCUGUUCGAGUGGCGGACGGGUGAGUAACACGUGGAUAACCUACCCUGGUGUGGGGGAUACCCUGUAGAAAUAUGGGCUAAUACCGCAUGAGGUGGAGCUUGGGGGACUGAGCUU